UGUUCUGUAGCGCAAUGAAUAGCGCGUUGGACUUCGAAUCCAAAGGUCGUGGGUUCGAAUCCCGCCUGGGAUAG
rnacentral:tRNA from 1 species